AACGAACGCUGGCGGCAGGCUUAACACAUGCAAGUCGAACGAUUAAAGCACCUUCGGGUGUGUAUAAAGUGGCAAACGGGUGAGUAACACGUGGGAAUGUACCUUUUGGUUCGGGACAACAGUUGGAAACGACUGCUAAUACCGGAUGAGCUCUACGGAGGAAAGAUUUAUCGCCAAAAGAUCAGCCCGCGUCAGAUUAGCUUGUUGGUGAGGUAACGGCUCACCAAGGCUCCGAUCUGUAGCUGGUCUGAGAGGAUGAUCAGCCACACUGGGACUGAGAUACGGCCCAG
rnacentral:rRNA from 1 species